UUUUUUUUUUUUUUACAGUGAGCGGAGCGGACAACUGAUCCGAGGAGCACAGGCAUACAAGUAUGUCCAUCCUAAACUACUGUUAACAUCCUUCGACGGAUUCUCUGUUCAUUCUGGCUGAUGUCACUGGCAGACAUCGAGGGGGAAGAGAGUCUUCCAGACACACCCAGAAUCAUUAUGCUUGAAGCGCAUUUUGGAGGUCACACACUGAUGUUGGACGAGGCGACUGGCUCUCAGGAUCCGCUCUAAUUCAUCCCAAAGGUGUUCUAUUGAGUUGAGGUCAGGACCCUGUGCAGGCCAGUCAAGUUCAUCCAGACCAAACUCUGUUAUCCAUGCCUUUAUGGACCUUGCUUUGUGCACUGGUGCACUGUCAUGUUGGAACAGGAAGGGGCCAUCCCCGAGCUGGGCUUGGUCCCUUAGUUCCAGUGAAAGGAACUUUGAAUGCUUUAGCAUUAACCAAGAGAUUUUGGACAAUUCCAAGCUCCCAACUUUGUGAGAAGUGUGUGUGUGUGUGUUUGUGUGUGUGUGUGUGUGGCAGCCAGAGCCAUAGAGGGAUGGUGUUCUCUACCUCUU